rnacentral:misc_RNA from 1 species
CACGCACAAUAUACCUGAGAGCCCCAGGACUAAACACGAAGAAGUCUUCAUGGCAAUACGAAAAGAGACAUGGCUUGGAGUGUGUCCCAUACAAGAAACCGACGGUCACCAUUCGGGACGCCGACCAUCUAGAAGCGGAGCUUGGUAAAGAACCACCUGUUCUUGCCGGUCUUGAACCUCUCCUCGAGGCGCGCCUUGGCGGCCUUGCAUGCGGCGACCUUCUUGUCGCGGGUGGAGAGCGCGUCGGGCCCGCCGGUGGCCACGUCCUUGAAGUCGACGUCGAGGGUGUAGCGGGUGGGCAUGAGGUGGGUGAAGUUGACGAGCUUGAUGAAGCACUUGACGCGCGACUUCUUCGCCGUCUUCUUGGCCGAGUCCCUGCGGACCACCUUCUUGGGGUACUUGGCGAGGCCGGCGACGAGGCAGUGGCCGUAGGGGCGGUCGCGGGUGCCCUCCUCGAACACGCGCACGAUCACCGCCUUCCUGCCGGCGAACCGGCCCUGCAGGAGGAUCACGGCCUUGCCGGGCUUGAGGAACUUCACCAUCCUCGGGUGCUGGUGCUGCUGCUCCUGCGCCGCCGCCGGGAGUGUAGGGGUUGGGAGAUGGGUCAAAUCGGAGCGCGCGGGAGGCGGGGAGCGUUAUAUAGGAUGGCGGCACUAGGGUUUCUGGAGGCUGGGUUUCGGCUGUUGGAUCCAGGAUCGGACGGUG